rnacentral:lncRNA from 10 species
GUAAGUUUCCUGAGGCCUCCCCAGCCCUGCAGAACUGUGAGUCAAUUAAACCUCUUUCCUUUGUAAAUUACCCAGUCUCAGGCAGUUCUUUAUAGUACCGUGAGAAUGGACUAAUACAGGUUUAAACAGUCAUUUUAGGAAAAUGUUCAAUCUCCUUUUUCUUCCUCUCUGGAUGUAGGGACCUGGGAGUGCGACAUGGUGGCCUCAGGGGAAAAGGGCUCUCGUCUAGACCUUCUGACUGUCCUCUGGAUCUUCCUGGUGUCCAUGCGGGGCUGCUGCUCUGGGCUGGCCCCAGGGCCUUUGGCCAGUGUCCAUGAGACCCGGAAUUCCAGCAACCAGUUUGACAACUCCUACAGAGAAACAGGAUCCACAUAAGGAUACAGCUUCUUCAUAUCCCUGUCCCAUGACUUCACCCUGCGUUCUUCAACCAAUCAAUGUGUCAGGCCUCUGAGCCCAGGCCUGCACGUAUACAUCCAGAUGGCAUGAAGUAACUGAGGAAUCACAAAAGAAGUGAAACUGGCCGGUUCCUGCCUUAACUGAUGACAUUACCUUGUGAAAUUCCUUCUCCUGGCUCAUCUGGGCUCAGAAGCUCCUCCACUGAGCACCUUGUGACCCCCCACCCCUGUCCGCCAGAGAGCAACCCCCUUUGACUGUAAUUUUCCACUACCUACCCAAAUCCUGUGAAAUGGCCCCACCCCAUCUCCCUUCACUGACUCUAUUUUCGGACUCCGCCCGCCUGCACCCAGGUGAAAUAAACAGCCUUGUUGCUCACACAAAGCCUGUUUGGUGGUCUCUCCACACGGACGCAUGUGACACAAUGAUCCCCACACUUCACCCCACUCCAAAUCCCCAAAAAGCCCUAGGCCCACACUCCUUGGGGAGAUGAAUGUGAGGUUUCCUCCCAUCUCCUUGCUCAGCGAACCUGAGAUUACACCUCUUUCUCUGCUGCAACCUGGAGUCUCAGAAUAUUGACUUACUGGGUACAUCAGGCAACAAACCUGUUGUAGUUCUACAGUUGCCCAUGUGGCCUGGAGCCAGCCCAUACAGGAGACUUCCCCACAUGGAGCCCUCUGUUUUUG